rnacentral:lncRNA from 1 species
UUUUUUUCUCCUGCUUACCUCUCUUCUUUCCUUUUUUUCUCUUCCAGCUUUUAUUUUUUUGCCAGCAAGCUCCAAAAGCCCAAGGUGGUUUAAUGCCAGCUUAAGUGCCUUUGAUUUGUUGUCUGAAGGCAGCUGGUGUGUAUCUUUGCCCUUGCAAGAUGAGAGAGAAGCAACAAAACAAAACCUGAGAAAGUGGACAAAGAGCAAGUGUCUCAGCUGGGAUACAGGAGACUCAGACCACAGAAGAAGCAGGAUGAAACCCUAGCCUGAGACUUGGGAGCUGAAGUUUGAGCUUCCUGCUUUUCCACAGAUAUAAACCCUGGUGUCUUUGGAGUGAGAUGGCCACCAGAUGGAACUUGAGAUCCUGAUGAUUUGAGGUGUUAAAAGUACUUUCACCAAAAGGCAGGAAACCUGUGUCCUGGAGGUGAGCUAUGCCUGGAUAAAGCCUCGAAACAAACUUAAUGCUUGUACUACC